GAUGGACGCUGGCGGCGUGCCUAAUACAUGCAAGUCGGGCGAACAGAUGAGGAGCUUGCUCCUCUGACGUUAGCGGCGGACGGGUGAGUAACACGUGGAUAACCUACCUAUAAGACUGGGAUAACUUCGGGAAACCGGAGCUAAUACCGGAUAAUAUAUUGAACCGCAUGGUUCAAUAGUGAAAGACGGUUUUGCUGUCACUUAUAGAUGGAUCCGCGCCGCAUUAGCUAGUUGGUAAGGUAACGGCUUACCAAGGCAACGAUGCGUAGCCGACCUGAGAGGGUGAUCGGCCACACUGGAACUGAGACACGGUCCAGACUCCUACGGGAGGCAGCAGUAGGGAAUCUUCCGCAAUGGGCGAAAGCCUGACGGAGCAACGCCGCGUGAGUGAUGAAGGUCUUCGGAUCGUAAAACUCUGUUAUUAGGGAAGAACAAAUGUGUAAGUAACUAUGCACGUCUUGACGGUACCUAAUCAGAAAGCCACGGCUAACUACGUG
rnacentral:rRNA from 1 species